rnacentral:lncRNA from 1 species
UGUUUUCCUGUGCCAUUCUCCUGGUGUUCUGCAUUGGACAAAUCUGCAUCUUCAGUGAAACACAAAAGAAGAAAACAGAUUGUUGUGGUCAGUAAGGACAAACCACUAACCUCCAUUAAGGCUGAUACAGUCCAUGCUUUCCUCUCGGAAUGCUACAUGUACACAAUGCAGGCAACCUCAGGCCGCUGUGGGAGAACGGAGUCCCCCAAAUGGCGGGAGGUGUCCCG